CCCUUAGAUGUUCUGGGCCGCACGCGUGCUACACUGAGUGGAUCAGCGGGUCAGGUUGCGCGAAAGUGUUUCCUAAUCUUGAAAUCCGCUCGUGAUGGGGAUUGACGGUUGCAAUUUUCCGUCAUGAACGAGGAAUACCUUGUAAGCGCGGGUCAUCAUCCCGCGCUGAAUACGUCCCUGCCCUUUGUACACACCGCCCGUCGCUCCUACCGAUUGAGUGGUCCGGUGAGGCUUUGGGAUCUGAGCGGAAAGAGCGUUUCGCUGUUUCUGCUCGGAAAACUCAGUCGAACCUUAUCAUUUAGAGGAAGGAGAAGUCGAAACA
rnacentral:rRNA from 1 species